rnacentral:rRNA from 1 species
GACGGAGGAUGCAAGCGUUAUCCGGAAUUAUUGGGCGUAAAGCGUCCGCAGGUGGCCUAUCAAGUCUGCUGUCAAAGACCGGGGCUUAACCCCAGAAAGGCAGUGGAAACUGAAAGGCUAGAGGAUGGUAGGGGCAGAGGGAAUUCCCAGUGUAGCGGUGAAAUGCGCAGAUAUCAGGAGGAACACCGGUGGCGAAGGCGGGUCUCUGGGCCGAUACUGACGCUGAGGAGCGAAAGCGUUGGGAGCGAACAGG